rnacentral:lncRNA from 10 species
AAGACGACUUUUAACUUCUUGGAGAAUAUCCUUUCAGAUAGUUGUCUUUGUAAAUGUAUACUUUUAAUGUUUUUUCGUUUGCCUUUUUAAAAUAAAUUUUUUGGGGGACAGGGUCUUGCUCUGUUACCCAGGCUGUAGUGCAGUAGAACGAUUAUAGCUCAUUGCAACCCGGACGUCCUGGGUUCAAGCUAUCCUCACCUCUCAGCCUCUCGACUGGCUAGGACCACAGCCUCGAGCCAUCAUGUCUGGCUAAUUUUUACGUUUUUUUGUAGAGAUGGGGGUCUCGCUGUGUUGUCCAGGCUGGUCUUAAACUCCUUGCUUCAACAGAUCCUCCCACUCCAGCCUCCCAAAAUGUGAUUACAGGCUGAGUCACCACGCCUAGCAUGGUUUUUUUUGUUUUGUUUGUUUUGUAAGCAAAAUUGACAUACAUACUGGAGGUACAAUUCUGUAGCUGGCCUUCUUUACAGAGUUUAGAAUAAAUGUCUUUCCAUGUCAAGUUUUCACUUACAUCCUUUGUAGUAGUUGCAAAAUAUUCCAUUUUAUAGCUGUAUCUUAAUUGUGGAUUAAGGUUGGAGUGCAGUGGCACUAUCAUGGCUUAGUCCAGCCUCAGCCUUCUAGGUUCAAGCGAUCUUCCCACCUCAGCCUCCCAAGAAGCUGGGACUACAGGGACCCGCCACCCCACCUAGCUAAUUAAAAAAAAAAUUGUAGAGAUGGAGUCUCAGUGUGUAGCCCAGUCUCAAGUGACCCUCCCUCGUUGGCUUCCCAAAGCGCUGAGAUUGCAGCUCCCAAGGAGGCAGCAGAAACUGGGGUAAUCACAACGGUCAACAGCAGCAAAGGCAGCACUUUCUGA